rnacentral:ncRNA from 1 species
CUAAAGAACUCAGCAAAAUAGUUCUAUAACUUCGGAAAAAGCGGUGUUUCCUCACAAAGAAGGUCGCAGUGACCAUGUCCAAGCGACUGUUUACAAAAAAACACAAAUCUCUGCAAAGUUGUAAGACCAUGUACGGAGGUUGACGCCUGCCCAGUGCUAAAAGGUCAAAAAAGUUGGUGACAUAAUGAUCAAAGCCGGUGACUGAAGCCCUAGUGAGCGGUGGCUGUAACUAUAACGGUCCUAAGGUAGUAAAAUAAUUUUCAUUAAAUAAUUAUUAAUUAGGUUUAGUUUUAUGCUAUUUGAUUCCUGAUCUUUAG